rnacentral:lncRNA from 1 species
AUGCAUCGUGGUAAGAUCAGUCAUUUGGAAAACAGUCCAGGGACAACCAGUAAUAACCUGGUGCAACUCAGAAGACAGACGACACUGCAGCCUUAUUUCUGCUCACAGGGGACCCGCGGGACUGUCCUCCCGGUGAGGCCACAGGGAUCCACGGACUGUCUUCCUACUGAGGCCCCUGUGGGUCCAAGCGGGUCACCGGCCCCUCCCUCCAGCAGAUGCCACAACAUAUCUGCUGUGUGUGACACAGCCUGGCAGGUGCUUUCCGGAAAUGGUUCAUUCACAACCAUUUGGCUGGCCUGGCACAUCCUGGGAUGCAGGUGCACAUUUACAGGGAGAGGCAGGUGCCGCCAGGAGCCACCGGCAGGAAUCAGGAAACACUCCCCCGGUUCUCGUCUCCCUGUAAUAAGUCACAGCCCUCGUGAAGGAGCCGGACCCGGGCCUCAGGCUCGCCCCUUCACGUCUGUUUGCAGGCCCCCAGGAACCAGACGACCUUCCGUCUUCUCUGGUGCUGGCUGCUCAGUGGCCCGGCGCACGGCCUCCUCUGACGGUGACAAUUACAGGAUGCUUUGAUACGUGGGGGCCUCCCUGAUGUCACGGGGACUGCGUCCCCUAGGGUGGUGACGACACCCCACCCACCCGCCUGCUUUCUCCGGCUCUCAGCCAUGGGGCUCUGACCCCCGGGGCAGCCCCUGUACCAGAGGAACUGAAAUUACUCAGACCUGCCAGUCCCCGGUAUGGUCAGCUGUCCCCUUGCCGGCUCAGUCCUUCCUAUGAAAACCACAGUAAGGCUUCCCCCCUCACUUCUUCUGCCCCUGACCGACCCUGGGGCCUCCAGGGGGGUGGCCCCGUGGGACCUGCCCUGCCUCCUGUGUCCAGGAAUCUGCGACCUUCAGCUGCUUCCUUCACGACGAUCGCUUCGUGCCUGCGUGUCUCACGAGGCCUGCGUCCAGCAGAUCCCAGGCAUACACCCUCCGCUCAGUUGCGUACCUCCAUUUUCAGAAGAACCAACAGUUCUUUCAGCCCGGUUGAAAACUAACAAAUAAAAAACCAAAGACCAAAGUCGCCUAAAAACA